rnacentral:rRNA from 1 species
GACGAACGCUGGCGGCGUGCCUAAUACAUGCAAGUCGAACGAGAGCGCCCGGUGCUUGCACUGGUCAAUCUAGUGGCGAACGGGUGAGUAACACGUGGGUAGCCUGCCCAUCAGAGGGGGAUAACAUCCGGAAACGGAUGCUAAAACCGCAUAGGUCUUCGAGCCGCAUGGCUUGAAGAGGAAAAGAGGCGCAAGCUUCUGCUGAUGGAUGGACCCGCGGUGCAUUAGCUAGUUGGUGAGGUAACGGCUCACCAAGGCCGUGAUGCAUAGCCGACCUGAGAGGGUGAUCGGCCACAUUGGGACUGAGACACGGCCCAAACUCCUACGGGAGGCAGCAGUAGGGAAUCUUCCGCAAUGGACGCAAGUCUGACGGAGCAACGCCGCGUGAGUGAAGAAGGUGUUCGGAUCGUAAAACUCUGUUGUUAGAGAAGAACAAGUGCUAGAGUAACUGUUAGCGCCUUGACGGUAUCUAACCAGAAAGCCACGGCUAACUACGUG